GCCAGGGAGAAGAUUAAAAAGAAGUGGUAUGAUCUUGUCUGAUCUUGGAAGCUAAGCACGGUUGGGCCUGGGUGGUAGUUGGGUGGGAGACCACCUAGGAAGACCAGGUGCUAUAGGCA
rnacentral:rRNA from 1 species